GGACAGGACAUGACUAUGUUGUUGAGAGACCAUUAGUGGGACUUUACAUUAUAGACUUAUAUCAUACCACUGUUAGGUUCUUAUUUUUCAGAGUAAAUAACUCAGACUCUAGAGAAGCUUUAACCAAGUUUAAUCAUUUCCCAAAGGUUCUGUACAGCAGAAAAUCAGACAGCUAAAGAUUUCAGACUUCACAGUUUAUAUACAUCCUACUUAAGACACUCCCCUUUCUCUCCAAUCCCUACAUUUCAUGGCUCCACAGGAAGCUAAUAAAGAGAGUAACAGGAUACCAAACAUUAAAUUACUCUCUUCAGAGAAUCUGUCCUGACCUCAACCUCUCAUCUAAUACCCAGAUGUCUCCCCUGUAUCAACACAUCGCUCUCCUCUCCUCCUGACCUCAACCCCUCCUUCACCUAAUCCACAGAUGUCCAUCUGUCUCCCUGUAUCAACACAUCUCUGUCCUGACCUCAGCCCCUCCUUCACCUAAUCCACAGAUGUCCAUCUGUCUCCCCCAUGUAUCAACACAUCUCUGUCCUGACCUCAACCCCUCCUUCACCUAAUCCACAGAUGUCCAUCUGUCUCCCCUGUAUCAACACAUCUCUGUCCUCACCUCCUGACCUCAACCCCUCCUUCACCUAAUCCACAGAUGUCCAUCUGUCUCCCCAUGUAUCAACACAUCUCUGUCCUCACCUCCUGACCUCAACCCCUCCUUCACCUAAUCCACAGAUGUCCAUCUGCCUCCCCAUGUAUCAACACAUCUCUGUCCUGACCUCAACCCCCUUCACCUAAUCCACAGAUGUCCAUCUGUCUCCCCUGUAUCAACACAUCUCUGUCCUCACCUCCUGACCUCAACCCCUCCUUCACCUAAUCCACAGAUGUCCAUCUGUCUCCCCAUGUAUCAACACAUCUCUCUGUCCUCACCUCCUGACCUCAACCCCUCCUUCACCUAAUCCACAGAUGUCCAUCUGUCUCCCCAUGUAUCAACACAUCUCUGUCCUCACCUCCUGACCUCAACCCCUCCUUCACCUAAUCCACAGAUGUCCAUCUGUCUCCCCAUGUAUCAACACAUCUCUGUCCUCACCUCCUGACCUCAACCCCUCCUUCACCUAAUCCACAGAUGUCCAUCUGUCUCCCCAUGUAUCAACACAUCUCUGUCCUGACCUCAACCCCUCCUUCACCUAAUCCACAGAUGUCCAUCUGUCUCCCCAUGUAUCAACACAUCUCUGUCCUCACCUCCUGACCUCAACCCCUCCUUCACCUAAUCCACAGAUGUCCAUCUGUCUCCCCAUGUAUCAACACAUCUCUCUCCUCUCCUCCUGACCUCAACCCCUCCUUCACCUAAUCCACAGAUAUCCAUCUGUCUCCCCCAUGUAUCAACGCAUUGCUGUCCUCUCCUCCAUCAAACACAUUCCAAAGCCUUCUGUCUUUCUUCAGAGAUCCAUUCUAACAGAACACCCAGUCUCUUUCAUUUCCUAUCAUUCAUUUACUAUCUCAAUGUUUAGCACAUUCAUUCUUCCCAUGACAGACUGACCAGGUGAAUCCAGGAUCCCUUAUUGAUGUCACCUUAAAUUCACUUCAAUCAGUGUAGAUGAAGGGGAGGAGACGGGUUAAAUAAUGAUUCUUUGCCAUUCAGAGGGUGAAUGGGCAAGAAAAGAUUGAAAUCAAAUUUGAUUAGUCACAAUGCAGUAAAAAAUAAUGAAUAAGAACUAAAAUUAACAAAUAAUUAAAGAGCAGCAGUAAUAAUAAUCAUAGCGAGACUAUAUGCAGGGGGCACCGGUUAGUAAUGAGACUAUAUGCAGGGGGCACCGGUACAGAGUCAAUGUGCGGGGUCACCGGUGUCAUACCUCUGCACCAUCUCUCUGUCUCCUACACCCAGGAUGCUGUGGUCAGAGAGGUCGUAAAUUCCUGGAGGAGAAUAUCUCCUCAUGGCCAGAGUAUUUAGAGAAAGUGAGUUUUCAUAUAGAGAGAGAAGGAGGAUAUACACCCAAAAGGGUCACGUUGUGGCAAUACAGACAGGUGGUUAGUAAAGUAACCUGGAGUAAAGUGAGCCGGUACUCCAGAGGUGAAGAGAGGGCAGGGUGAAAGAAGAGGCCUAAAGGACAGGAAGGAGCCGUCUAGAAGAGGCCUAAAGGGCAGGAAGGAGCAGACUAGAAGAGGGUUGGUCAGUGUCCUCCUAGUCCUCACUGGCUCCGUGGUCAGUAAGGAUCCUUCCUCUGGCUCAGGAGGGGUCGACUAGCUCAACAGGUAGCACUACGGAUCACCUCCAUCCACCU
ensembl:lncRNA